CUUCUCYRCACCAGGCUGAGGGGCUMAUGUUCUCRGUAGAGAGCUUAGAGGAGGGCUUUGGAGAGGCAGCCUCCUCUUGUAGCAGGAGAAUGCUCUGCUGCCUUCAGCAGCAAGGAGAGAACUGCCUUGGAAGCCUCCCAGUGCGUCUGUGUUACGUUGCAGAGACUGCGUACGCCAGAGCUGUCCAUCUCCGGCAGACCUGCUGCUCUGGGGACCCAGCCUAGCUCUGUGCAUGUGUUCCCGAGGUGAACGCGUUUCCUUUGCAGCCCUUGGCCAACCGAGCAGGAAGCCUCCUGGCUGCUCCUUGCGACUGUGCACCACCAGGGCUUGACACUCAGCAUCGAGUUGGGAAUAACUUGCACAGUGACUGGUUCCCGCUUAACCAGUGCUCACUUUGGGCUACGCUUGUCUGUGCCUGGAGUGACCAGGAAUCGUGACUGUGCUUCUCAUGCCCAACCUGCCCUGCUUCCCAUCGGAGAGAAGGAACUGCACACAGAGAGGAACUUAGGCUACGCCUUCUGUCUUUUGGGGGAGAGUGCCAAAAAAAAAGCCCCUAAAGAGCUGUGCAUGGACACAAAGGAGGUGGCAUGUGAGAAGGUCUCAAACAGCAGUGAGGAGGCUCAGUGUUCACAAGCUGCAAAGGGGAGACGAUGCCCUUCCUUCAAAGCUGGGUUGUCUUUUGGCUUGCAGGUUUCAGCUGACCGUGCAAGGCAGCCCAGAGGCCCAGGCUGCCCCCGCCGGCUGCCCACAGGAGAAGGAGCUGGAAGAAGAGCGCGGGGGCAUCAGGAGCAGCAAAGGUCAGGGAAAAGCUGCCUCCUGACCCGGUUGGCUCCCUGUCCCACGCUGGGUGACAGCAGCCYGGUGAAAAUGCACUCCCCAGGAGGCUGCUCUGAAGAGCUUCCUUGUGUCCUCCUUACAGAGCAGCGUCCUGACAAGCUCCUGCAGCAGCACGAAGAGCUUUCUCUCCCCAUGCUGCCAAACUGGGGGAAGGCGCGAGGUGGCAAGGCAUGGAGAGCAAGCCUCCUGCCAGGAUCCUUAGGAAGCAGGCAGCCCCCAUCCUGGGCACCUCCCUGGGGAACGAGGUUGACAUUCAAUACCUCGAGGCUGCAUCCUCCCACUGGACCUCAGAGCAGCCGUGCUGCCACCACUCUCAGGGGUGCAGCACAGGUGUGUGAGCGGGCUCUGGGUGAUCCUUGCAUCUCACCAACUCCUAGGAAAGCUCAGGCCUAUGCGACUCCCUCCAGAAAGGGCCCUCAGUGCGUGGCCACGGCAGCCGUCGGUGGCCUCUUUGGCUGCUACUUUGGGGUGUAG
rnacentral:lncRNA from 1 species